GGAGGGAUAGGUUAAUGUAAACCAACUGGUUCAUGCCCAGAUAAUAUAGUCUCUGAGAUUGUUCCCUCUA
rnacentral:tRNA from 1 species